AACGAACGCUGGCGGCAGGCUUAACACAUGCAAGUCGAACGCCCCGCAAGGGGAGUGGCAGACGGGUGAGUAACGCGUGGGAAUCUACCGUGCCCUGCGGAAUAGCUCCGGGAAACUGGAAUUAAUACCGCAUACGCCCUACGGGGAAAGAUUUACCGGGGUACGAUGAGCCCGCGUUGGAUUAGCUAGUUGGUGGGGUA
rnacentral:rRNA from 1 species